rnacentral:rRNA from 1 species
ACAGGAUUCCCCUAGUAAUGGCGAAUGAAGCGGGAACAGCUCAAAUUUGAAAUCUGCGUCGCUUGCGACGCCGAAUUGUAGUUACCAGAAACACUUUCCAGGCGGUUGCGGCGCCGUCCAAGUUGCUUGGAACGGCACGUCGUAGAGGGUGAUAACCCCGUCCGUGGCGGUCGCCGUCCGCUGGUGAUGUGUUUUCGAAGAGUCGGGUUGUUUGGGAAUGCAGCCCAAAACGGGUGGUAAACUCCAUCUAAGGCUAAAUAUCGGCACGAGACCGAUAGCGAACAAGUACCGUGAGGGAAAGAUGAAAAGCACUUUGAAAAGAGAGUUAAAAAGUACGUGAAACCGUUGAAAGGGAAACGGAUGUGACUAGCAAUGCGCCCCGCGAGAUUCAGCCGGGCUUCGCUCCGGGCGGGCGGUUUCUGCGGAUCCGAAUGGACCGCGGCCGUCCGGUUCGGAGAGUCGACCGUCGCACUUCUCGCGGGCGCGAGCCAACGUCGGUUGGCUUCGGGUGUUCGAGGCUCGCGGUAAGGUGGGUCGUUCCCUUCGGGGUUCGAUCGUUAUAGACCGCGACGCGUACGGCUCGAGGGCGACCGAGGAGUUUGCGGCGUGUGCCUCCCCUUCGGGGGUUUGGCUGGGGUCCCGUUCCACCGGCCGGUUGUCGACAGAGGCGGAYKGCGUSCAGKGSGUCUSGACSGCKKUSGKUSGUUUGGGGKGGKGAYUUGGCCCCACGCGCCCAGGACGUUGGCGAUCAGAUGGUCUCAUUCGACCCGUCUUGAAACACGGACCCCGGAGUCUAACAUGUGCGCGAGUCUUUGAGUGAAGGAAACUCGCUGGCAAAAUGAAAGUGAAGGUGGCUUCGGCCGCAGAGGUGAGAAGCCCNCCCAAGGNCCGGCCGCAUCAUCGACCGACCUAUUCUGCUCUCAGGAAGGUUUGAGUAAGAGCGCAUCUGUUGGACCCG